rnacentral:rRNA from 1 species
AUUGAACGCUGGCGGCAGGCCUAACACAUGCAAGUCGAGCGGCAGCGGAAAGUAGCUUGCUACUUUGCCGGCGAGCGGCGGACGGGUGAGUAAUGUCUGGGAAACUGCCUGAUGGAGGGGGAUAACUACUGGAAACGGUAGCUAAUACCGCAUAACGUCGCAAGACCAAAGAGGGGGACCUUCGGGCCUCUUGCCAUCAGAUGUGCCCAGAUGGGAUUAGCUAGUAGGUGGGGUAACGGCUCACCUAGGCGACGAUCCCUAGCUGGUCUGAGAGGAUGACCAGCCACACUGGAACUGAGACACGGUCCAGACUCCUACGGGAGGCAGCAGUGGGGAAUAUUGCACAAUGGGCGCAAGCCUGAUGCAGCCAGGCCGCGUGUAUGAAGAAGGCCUUAGGGUUGUAAAGUACUUUCAGCGGGGAGGAAGGUGUUGAGGUUAAUAACCUCAGCAAUUGACGUUACCCGCAGAAGAAGCACCGGCUAACUCCGUGCCAGCCGCCGCCGUAA